AUUGAACGCUGGCGGCAGGCUUAACACAUGCAAGUCGAGCGGAGAGAGGUAGCUUGCUACCGAUCUUAGCGGCGGACGGGUGAGUAAUGCUUAGGAAUCUGCCUAUUAGUGGGGGACAACAUUUCGAAAGGAAUGUUAAUACCGCAUACGUCCUACGGGAGAAAGCAGGGGAUCUUCGGACCUUGCGCUAAUAGAUGAGCCUAAGUCGGAUUAGCUAGUUGAUGGGGUAAAGGCCUACCAAGGCGACGAUCUGUAGCGGGUCUGAGAGGAUGAUCCGCCACACUGGGACUGAGACACGGCCCAGACUCCUACGGGAGGCAGCAGUGGGGAAUAUUGGACAAUGGGCGCAAGCCUGAUCCAGCCAUGCCGCGUGUGCGAAGAAGGCCUUAUGGUUGUAAAGCACUUUAAGCGAGGAGGAGGCUACUUUAGUUAAUACCUAGAGAUAGUGGACGUUACUCGCAGAAUAAGCACCGGCUAACUCUGUGCCAGCAGCCGCCGUAAAAC
rnacentral:rRNA from 1 species